AAGUAUGAGAAAUCAAAUGGGGUGUUUACCAAGGUUGAGUAUUAGCAGAGCUGGAACAGGGAAAGCCUAAGCUUAGAGGGCGAGGGAUUUUAGGUUAAUGAAUCACUGAAGUGGCUGACUCUGGAUCAAGAUUUGGUAAAGGCAAAUGCCACCAAAAAGAGAAGAUAAAGGAACAAGCUAAUUCUAGAUGUAAUUCUUAUAAAAGAGGAUGAUUAAUUGGAGAAAACGAUUACUGGAAACCUGGGAGGCACUGAAGAUGCUAUUCGAGAGUUUGUGACUUAUAGAAAAGGUCAGUCAUCCCUAGGGCAGGCAAGCCAGCCUCUUUGAAGCAGUGGUGCAUUCCUGAAGGAGAGAUGAGAGGCAGCAGAUUGUGCCAGACAAGUCAAACUGCCAUAACCACAAAGACCACUAUCUCCUCUCCAACCCCGAUGGAUCCUGAAAGGAAGA